AUCUUCUUAGUAUCAAAUAGUAUAAGUGAUUUCCACUCACAUGGCCUCGGUUUAAACCCGGGAGAAGAUA
rnacentral:tRNA from 1 species